GGUAGCCGGCCUGAGAGGGUGACCGGCCACACUGGGACUGAGACACGGCCCAGACUCCUACGGGAGGCAGCAGUGGGGAAUAUUGCACAAUGGGCGAACGCCUGAUGCAGCAACGCCGCGUGAGGGAUGACGGCCUUCGGGUUGUAAACCUCUUUUAGCAGGGAAGAAGCGAAAGUGACGGUACCUGCAGAAAAAGCGCCGGCUAACUACGUGCCAGCAGCCGCGGUAAUACGUAGGGCGCAAGCGUUAUCCGGAAUUAUUGGGCGUAAAGAGCUCGUAGGCGGUUUGUCGCGUCUGCUGUGAAAUCCGGAGGCUCAACCUCCGGCCUGCAGUGGGUACGGGCAGACUAGAGUGCGGUAGGGGAGAUUGGAAUUCCUGGUGUAGCGGUGGAAUGCGCAGAUAUCAGGAGGAACACCGAUGGCGAAGGCAGAUCUCUGGGCCGUAACUGACGCUGAGGAGCGAAAGGGUGGGGAGCAAACAGGCUUAGAUACCCUGGUAGUCCACCCCGUAAACGUUGGGAACUAGUUGUGGGGUCCAUUCCACGGAUUCCGUGACGCAGCUAACGCAUUAAGUUCCCCGCCUGGGGAGUACGGCCGCAA
rnacentral:rRNA from 1 species